UUUUUUUCUAGGUCCCGCAUCCGGCCGAUCUACGGCAUCCUGCUCGCCGAUUUCGACUGUGGACCAUCGUCGUUCACCGCCGAUAUCGUCUACGAUCUCCCACUAAUGCAAUAACAAUCGCCUUUCCACGUUUCCGUUAUCCAUCGACGCAAAACACGCUGCUCGGACGAAGGGAGGAAAAAAUCAAACGUAAAAAUAUCCGUGUGCAAGGACGAGGUGUACCUGUUACCCGCAAUCAGCAAGAAUUCAGCGAGACAUGAAUUCCAUUUAUGCACGUGUAUGCAGCGAUUAGCGCGUUUCUUCGUAUGCAGUUCAGACAAGAAUUACGAGAAUCGUCGGGUAAACCAUCCGAUCUUCUUACGAACGAACGUGCGAGUCGAUUCCUCCGACGAGAACACCUUGCGAUCAAUAAUCAUCUAGUUCAUCGGGGAAUCGGGAAAAUAAAAGCUCGUCCCGGAUACCGUCGACUUUCAUCGCACUAGAAAGCACAGGCGUUGCCGUGGAAUCGCGUUAGGAUAACUCGGGGGAAAGGCAUUUUGCGUGGAUGUCCAAGCGAGGAAAACUGAUCAAGGAUCUACCUUCGCGGCCAUGAUCGAUUACGCUUUCCGCGAAACGCGACGAAUUGAAACAAACAGCUGUUCGCGGAAAAGACCAGUUCGGUAAGCACGUCAUUUUACGAGAAUCAAUCGAUGAUUAUCGCGAAUCGCGUGGCGAUCGAAUUCUUUGCAAAUACCACUUCUCCAGUGCUUUUUGAAGAAGUUUCGUGCAAGGUGUGUUCCGUCGUACCGUUAAAAUUCCCCGUGCACGCUGUCCGACACGUCGGUAAAUUACAAGGCCGUUUCUUGUUCUUCGAUGACGACGUACUUUGCAUGUCAACGUCGCCGACAGUCCACGAUAACGCACCCGUUUCGAAAAUAAAGAAGAUAACAAAUUACAGUAAA